rnacentral:rRNA from 1 species
GACAGAGGGUGCGAACGUUGUUCGGAAUUACUGGGCGUAAAGCGCGUGUAGGCUGCUUGGAAAGUCGGAUGUGAAAGCCCUGGGCUCAACCCAGGAAGUGCAUUCGAAACUUCCGAGCUCGAGUCCUGGAGAGGGAAGCGGAAUUCUCGGUGUAGAGGUGAAAUUCGUAGAUAUCGAGAGGAACACCGGUGGCGAAGGCGGUUACCUGGACAGUUACUGACGCUCAGGCACGAAAGCAUGGGGAGCAAAAGGG